GCCUUCGUGGUGUAAUAGUCAGCACACUGAGCCGGUAAUUCAGAGGUCCGGAGUUCGAUCCCCGGCGAGGGCA
rfam:Stegodyphus mimosarum contig69120, whole genome shotgun sequence.